AUUGAACGCUGGCGGCAGGCCUAACACAUGCAAGUCGAGCGAGCGGCGGACGGGUGAGUAAUGUAUGGGGACCUGCCCGAUAGAGGGGGAUAACUACUGGAAACGGUGGCUAAUACCGCUUACUAUCGGUUGAACCCAUAUGGGAUUAGCUAGUCGGGGGGGUAACGGCGCACCAAGGCCACGAUGCAUAGCCGACCUGAGAGGAUGAUCAGCCACACUGGGACUGAGACACGGCCCAGACUCCUACGGGAGGCAGCAGUGGGGAAUAUUGCGCAAUGGGCGCAAGCCUGAUGCAGCCAUGCCGCGUGUAUGAAGAAGGCCUUAGGGUUGUAAAGUACUUUCAGCGGGGAGGCGUUACCCGCAGAAGAAGCACCGGCUAACUCCGUGCCAGCAGCCGCGGUAAUUC
rnacentral:rRNA from 1 species